GACGAACGCUGGCGGCGUGCUUAACACAUGCAAGUCGAACGGAGAGGCCCUGCUUUUGUGGGGUGCUCGAGUGGCGAACGGGUGAGUAACACGUGAGUAACCUGCCCUUGACUUUGGGAUAACUUCAGGAAACUGGGGCUAAUACCGGAUAGGAGCUCCUGCUGCAUGGUGGGGGUUGGAAAGUUUCGGCGGUUGGGGAUGGACUCGCGGCUUAUCAGCUUGUUGGUGGGGUAGUGGCUUACCAAGGCUUUGACGGGUAGCCGGCAUGAGAGGGUGACCGGCCACAUUGGGACUGAGAUACGGCCCAGACUCCUACGGGAGGCAGCAGUGGGGAAUAUUGCACAAUGGGCGGAAGCCUGAUGCAGCAACGCCGCGUGCGGGAUGACGGCCUUCGGGUUGUAAACCGCUUUCGCCUGUGACGAAGCGUGAGUGACGGUAAUGGGUAAAGAAGCACCGGCUAACUACGUG
rnacentral:rRNA from 1 species